AUCAUGACCUGGCUGAAGUCGGACGCUUAACCGACUGCUCCACCCAGGCGCCCCUACAUUAUUGCCUUUUAGAAACAAAAGGUGAUCAGUUUGGAUAGCCCUUGAGGCUGGUUUUCUUCCUCUGAUAGCUGAGCUGAAUGUUGAUUCAGAAGAUUCAAGUUAGCUAAAGGGAAGACCAGCGUUUCAGCAGGCACAAAGCUCCAGAGGUUUCUUCUUUUCUAACAAGCAUUCCACCUCUAGGGGUUUCUAUCAUUACCUGCUCACACAGAUAUUCUUGUCCCCUGACCUUAUAAAUAUGUAGAGCAUUCCUGGAUGUGGGAGGGGUAUGUCUAUCAAAGUAUUGGCCAUUUAAGCUGUAUAAUAGUGAGAUUUGGAGCAAGAUUUGCCACUGCUUCUUCCCUGUUUGUAAGUGUUCCCUCAAUAAGCUUCUCUACAGCACAUGGCACUAGAUACAUAUGUUUUGCCUUAUUUGACUAUCAAAAAUUUAGGCACAAAAUUCUAACACACCUCACUUAAAAUGUAUAAUAGCUUUCAACAAGAAUCAUGAAAACUAUAAAAACAGAUUUGCUCAUAUAUGUAUCAAAAUAACACUUCAUUCUCUCAUUUUCUCCCCACAUUUUGAUAGUAAACUUCCUAUGGUGAUUCGCCCUAUCUUCACAAGUUUUAUAGUCUAGUAAGCAUAGAGAUAUGCACAAAUGCAGUAAAAUAAGUUAAUUACCGUAAUUAUGACAGAAGAUAAUGCACAACGGUAGCAUUGUAGAAGGUUCAUCUCAACAGGCCUAUUUUGUCAGAAGUGGCAGCCUUUAGGCUGAGAUGUGAGGGGUAUAUAAUCAUCUUCUAGACAUAUCAAAAGGUAGGUAUAGUCCAGAAAGAUGCAAGAGUAGGAACACAAACGUGAAGGAACAGUAACGUUGCAAGCAGAAUAAUGAUACCCAUAAAUGUCUAUGACCUAAUCGCUGGAUGACCCAUGACCUAAUCGCUGUGAACAUGUUAUGCCAACAGAAAAGGGAUUUUGAAGAUGUAAUUAAGGCUAAAGACCUUAAGAGUCCAAUGGAAUCAUAUCAGUCAUUAAAAUUGGAUAACUUUAUCCAGCUAAAAUUAAAAGAAAAAGAUGCAAGAAGUCAGACCGAAGUAGCAGAAAGUGAAGUCAAAGGGGUUCCAUGGGUGAGCAGGAUUUAAUACACUGUGGCAGGCUUUGAAAUGUAGGUAUCAACAUGCAAGAACCAGUGACAGCCUCCAGGAUCAAAGGACAGACUCUGACAGUCAGCAAGGAAAUGGAGACCUCCAUCCGACAAACACAGGGGACUUUAUUCCGCCAACGACUUGAAUGACCUCAGAAGGAGACUCUUUCUAGAGUCUUCUGAUAAGAAGCCAGCUGGCUGACCCCUUGAUUGAGAUCUCUGAAGCCUAGAGCAGAGGAGAUAGCUGUGCCAAUCUGGUUUUCCGACCUAUAAGAACUGUGACAUAAUUGUUUAUAUUGUUUUAAGAAACCAAAUCUGUGGUGAGUUGUAAGGGCAACAAUAAGAAACUAAUGUAAACCAUGAUUUAUAGUAUCAUUUGGGUUUAGGACCAAAGAUGGGAGUGAGGAAUCAGAUCAUAAGAAAAGUUUAGAUGGUAUUUUGUAACUUUUUGAGUUUAGAUUUUAUCUUGAGUAUAAAUGUCAAUUUUUAGUUACUUAGGAGCUAGUAGACGAUUUUAAGCUGAGGGUUAAUAUAAUUACGUUAGAAUAAUCACUUGGGGCAGUGGAAGAGAAGACAUAAUAGACAGGAAUGAUUAAAGAGUGUGAAACUGACAAAAGAUUUGGACAAAAGAUUUGCAAGGUCCCAAUCAUAACAUGAUAAAUGUUUAGUCUAUAAUAAAAAUAAUGGAUACAGAGAAAUCAAAUCAGUGACAAAUAUUUAGGAUGUAAAAUGGAUAAGAUAUUGUGACUCAGUGGGUAAAAGAAAAAAAAGAGAAGGAAGAUGAGUUUUCCUUUUGGAUUUUUCUCUCUCCCAGACUUCUGGCUUAACAAAUUGUGUAGACAAUAGAUAGUUGCUGAGAUAUGGAAAUGAGAGAGAGAGAGAGAGAGAGAGAGAGAGAGAGAGAGAUUGAAAUGGACUAAAGAUCGGGGGGAACAUGAUGAAUUACUUUUUUUACAUAGCUUAAAGUGACUCUGAAUCCUUUGAAAAAUGAGUAGUAAGUUAUAUUCAUGACUGAGCUGUUCAAUUCUGCAGAUUAUAUAGAGUUGGACAUUGUAUAAGCCGACAAGUCAUAUAUGUUGAAGCAAGUAUUUCAAUUUUGCUUGGAGAUAUUAGGAUAUAAUAUUAGGAUAUAAGAAAUAUAUGAAGCUGUGUUUAUACAUAAAAUUCUCCUGAUAGAGAAGAAAGCACAUAAUCAUUUUAGAGAUGGACAGAGGAAGGUCUUAAAAAAACUAAUAAUACAGUCUGGCCUGAUUGGCUCAUGGAUAUCAAGAGAAGAAGAUUUCAAUAAGGAAACAAUGGUCAGAUAUGUCAAAUUUCCCACAGAGGUCAAUUAAGAGACAAACUAAAAAUGUACAUGAUUUAAACAGUGAGACUUCUGUCAUAUUUUUCCCCCAAGAAGAGUUUAUAGAGAUAUGUGGCCUAGACAGGUGGUAUUCUAUGGACUGUGAGGAAGGGUGGGUUAUCUAUUGCCUCUUAUCUUAGUAUAUGAAUCAGGGAUACAUACAGAACUUGACUAAGAUUUUUCAACAAACCUGACAAAUCAAAAAGUAAUAAGUAUAAAAAGCAGCAGAGCCUCUCUUUCAAAAUCAUGGGGUAACACACAGGAAACAUAUCAGUUUUUAAAUGAAAUUCCAAAUUGAUUUCUGUCUUCAUGUUGAGUGAAAAGAUAAGAAGUGUGUACAUCUGGGAGUGACUGUGGAGUGCAACAUGUGAUAUCUUGCUACCUAGCAUCAAGGCAUUUGCUAUUUUGUUAGUUAAGUAAUAUAAAUGACAAAACUUUCUUAACAAGGCAGUUGAGGAACCUGAAGGAAAAUAUUAGUUAUCAGUGAGUUAUGUCCAGAGUAAAAUAACAUAUGAUGGAUUAUAGAUGAUAGAUAGAUAGAUAGAUAGAUAGAUGAUAGAUAGAUAGAUAGAUAGAUAGAUAGAUAGAUAGAUGAUAGAUAGAUUGUGAUAGAUGAUAGCACAGAGAGAAGGAGGGAGGGAGACAAAGAGGGAGACAAAGGAAGAGAGGGGGGGAGAGAGAGAGAUUGAGAGUUAAAGAGGGACAGAGAGAGACAGAAAUAUUGAUUUUGCCCAAUUUGCUCAUGCAGCUGUGGAAGCUGGUCAGUUUGUAGGACAGGCCAGCAGAGCAAAAACUCAGGCAGGAUUUCUAAGAGUCUUGAUGCAGAAUUGCUUCUUCAUUUUGUAACCUGUUUUUGUUCUUAAGGCCUUCAACUGACUAAAUGACACCCAUCUACUUUAUUGAGGAUAAUCACCUUUAAUUAUGUCAAACUGACUACAAACAUUAAUAACAUUACAGAGUAGCUUCACAGGGACAUCUAGAUUAGUGUUGGACCAAACAACUGGGCACCCUAGCCUAGCCACGUUGACACAUAAGACUUACUAUCACACUGGAUAUAAAUUUUGGUUUACUCUUGCAUAACUGGUGACUUUGAGCAAGAUAUGAUAUGUCUAUGCCUUAGUUAUGUCACCAAUAAAAUAAGUUUAGAACAGUAACUUCCUCAUGGGGAUACCUUAAUAUUAUAAUUGUCUAUAUGUACAAGAUACUUAUAUACUUAGGCCAGUGUAAACAGUCAAUGCUAUCUAUUAUUCAACUUUUACUGUUAUAUAAUACAACUUAAACAAAUCAUGUUUCCUGAAUUACAAUAUUGUCCCAUAUGGUAUGAAUUGUACAUGAACUGAAAGUGACUAUGGGCAAGAGGGGUAAUCAGAAAUAAUGUAGUAUUUACAUACUUUCACUCUUAAUGGAGAAAAAAAUGGGAUCACCAUUUAACUCAUGAGAUAUGAAAAAUUAUAGCAAUACAAAAGAAAGGUAACUAGAAGGAAUAAAAAAUAAUGACAAAGGAAGAAAUUAAUGAGUUUGAAGAUAAUUAAGACCAGGCCUCAAGCUAUAUUAGAAAGCUGUAGUCAUCAAGACAGAAUGGUACUGGCACAAAAACAAACACAGAGAUCAAUGGAACAGAAUUAAAAAAACACAGAAAUUGACCCAUGACUAUAUGGUCAACUAAUCUUUGACAAAGCAGGAAAGAAUAUUCGUGGGGCGGGGAACAGUUUCAUCAACAAAUGGUGUUGAAAAAACUGGACAGCAACAUGCAGAAGAAUGAAACUGGACCAUUUUCUCACACCAUACACAAAAAUAAAGACAUAAAUCUAGGAGCUGCCUUUUCAAAAAAGGGGUAAAAUAGUAGAAUAUUCAACGUUAAUUAUAAAAAGUAAGUUGGAGAUAGGAAUAAUGUACAAAAAUAGAAAUGGUAAAGGAGUUGAAAACACAUAGGAGAGUGAUAAUAAUUAACCAAAGCUGUGUACAACUCCAUGAUAAUAAAAUAUUCACAUAUAAUAAUAAAAUGGUUGGUUUUUAAACAGUGCCCAAUUUAUCCCAAUUGUUCCCAAAAGAGAAAGAAAACUGAAAUUGUCUGAUAGCCAUGAGAAAAGCUAAAAUACUUAAAUACAUAAAUUAGUACCUAUAAAUGAUGAACUUAGGGCACUAUCUUUUUUAAAGGUUACUCAUAACUACAUUAAAAUGUGAUCUUUUGUAUUCUUUGUGUUGAAAGAGAGCUGUGAAUCACAUGUAAUCAAUAAGCUAGCUAGUCCUGACAGCCAAUGUGAUUAUGAAUUUAAGUUAACAGGAAAAGGUUAAAUCUUGAGUGGAAAUACUGUUUGAUUUGUUUGCUUCAUUUUGUGUUGGUUGGUGUCCACUAGAUGCCAUGAGGUUGAAGUCCAUAUGCAUUUUUUACCAACUUUAUGAUUACUCCAUUUUGGUAACUGGCAAGUAUCAAUAAUUUUGAACUCCGGUACAAUGUUUUUCAGACCAACUUACUCUAACAGAGGUUUUUGUAGCUCAAUCAUUACUUGUAGUACCUAUUAAAGUUUUCAGUUUUGUCAAUAAAGUUAUCAAGUACACUCAACAAUAAAAUGUAAUCAGUAAAGUCAGGUAGAUAUUUGGUAUGCCUUUUUUUAUAAAUAUAAAUUUUCAUAAUGUUUCAUUUGAAUAUCUCUAAAUUUCUCUAGUUAAAAUUUACUUAAAUGUUUAAAUUUCAAUUGAUAUGAACAAUUACGCUAAAAUAAAAAAUUUCCAUAGCAUAUGAUCUUAAGAAUAUUUACAGAAAGAAUUUACAAAGCUGUUAAAAGCAAUUUCUUGUGAGAUAAUGUUUGCCAAUAUACAGAAAAUUCUAGAAACACCAUGAAAUAAAUCUUUUUUGAUUUCCUAAACAAAGAUGUUCAAUGUCAAACUCAGUCUACAUUAUUGUAAUGAAAAUUAUGUUUCUUUCAUAGGAUUUUAAUUAAGCAACAUGUAGAAUCUGCAAAAUGGUACUGUUAUGUCUUGGUAAUUUUGUCUAUGAUGGCAAAUUAAUAAUCUUUCUAAUUGAAGCAUAUGUAAAUAAUAUUCAUUUUUAAACUUUAGGUUUUUGUUUUACACUGCCCAGAUUGAUACCAUUUUUCUAAUAUUUGAAUGUAUCCAUAUUCUUUAGGUACAGUUAAAUAAGAUAUUGUUUUUGUUCCCUCGGAGACCUCAGAACAAACAAACCAUGCCAACACCUUGAUUUUGGACUUCUAAAUCUCCCAAAUGAGAUAUGCAACAAUAUGUGAAGAUCCAGCCAGGUCAUUGGAAACUUCUUCCAACUCAGCAAGGUGCUCUAUCAACUGAAAAUCAAAAGCUUAACUGCCUCAUGAAAGUUAACAUAAGGUUAUAAAUGAGAUAGAAGGUCAGUUGAGCUUUAUGGAGGUUACCUGAAAUGUGAUAGUGCAACAGAAUGCAGAAGCAGGUCCGUUGCUUCUCAAGUCUCAAAGCGGCAAUGUGGACGAUGCUCUAUAUACAGUGUGUCUGUGUCACAGAUGAGAAACACUGAGCUUACAAGCAGACAAAUAAAAAACAAUUGUAUAAGACUGCUGCUGCUAAACCAGUCCAUCCUUCCCUCUAAAGAAUAAAGAUAAAUAUCUUUUAUUA